CUGGGAAUUUCUGGGCCGAGAGCCGUCAUGCUUCGUGCGGGACGUAGGUAUUGUGUGUGAGGUGGAAGCCAGGCUGAAGGCAACCAAAGGGAACAUCGCCUUGGUGGGACUGGAAGCGACUCCAGGCUGAGGAGCCCGGGGGAGCCAGAGCUGCGCGUCCCUGCGUCUCUGGCAGGGUCCUUAUCCCAGAAAGGUGUCGGGGCAACUUGCAGGGACAGAGCCGGGCCGAACACCUGUCAGAGGUCAGGCACGCACACAGACCUGGGCAGCCCGAGCGCCGCCGCCUUCUCCCCCGGUGGGCGGCGCGGAGGUGGCGCCUCUCCUCGUGUCGGGCGCGGCCUCCCCGGGGACCCCGCGCCGCGCCGGCCCCGGCCCCGCUGCCUCGCACAUCCUGGGGCCGCCAUCUGGGCCGCGCUGAUACCGUAAUCGCCCCGAUGCACGCCGCCGUCCCGCUCCCCCCGCGCCGGCGGGGCCGCGGAGGCGCGAUGCUCCGUCCUUGCGCCGCAGAUAAGCUGCGAGGCGCUUGAGGCGCACAAAGCCCGGCCGCGCCGGUGCCUCCUCCUCCUCCCUCCCGCCGCCGGAAGGUAAAAUCUCCACCCGCGGGCGGGAGAGGCGGAGAGGCGGGCUGGGGAACACUCCUCGCCGCCUCUCGCCGCCCGGCCCGGCUCCCUCGGCGCUGCACAAGUCGAUAGGCGCGGGGAGAAGUGAAGAUGUAACCACCUAUUAUCUUCCCCCGGAGCGGGCGGGGGAUUUACGGGCAGAGAUUAGCCGGUUACCUUAUCACUGAAGCAGAAUGGUAAUGGAUGGCAGCAGAGUACUUCAGAGGGGUUAAGGCUCUAUCAGUUAAGAAGCUGACACAUAGCAGGUUUCAGGAGUAUCUUUAAUUACACCUAGAGUUAUGUACAAGGGAAGAUGGUCCUGCUUACGUGCUGCUGCACUUCAGAGUUUACAGGCUCAGAAGCAGACAGGAUAAAAAGAAAAGAUUGAUCUCUGGGCUGGUGAACAUAGUAUCUGUCCCAGUCAGAAAAGGAAAGAGGAAAUUAGCAGAGCGAUUGGUGGAGAAUGAUAUCUGUCAAAAGAAACACUUGGAGAGCACUGAGUUUAGUGAUAGGUGACUGCCGGAAAAAAGGGAACUUUGAAUUUUGUCAAGGUAAGGAACGGAAAAAUAUUUGAUUUUAUUAUGUGCAUACCUUUUAGAAGUUAUUUUUAAUGAUUGUACCUUGCCUUGUAAACUGUAAUUAAAAAAGAAAUCUUUCCUUUUAGCCUCCAAAGAGUCUGCCUAAAUCAAUGAAGGUGCUGUCUUCGUUUUAAUAUCGCUGAGAAAGAGUACAGCAAUGCCAGUA